GCAAGUCUGGUGCCAGCAGCCGCGGUAAUUCCAGCUCCAAUAGCGUAUAUUAAAGUUGUUGCAGUUAAAAAGCUCGUAGUUGAAUUUCGGGAUCAAUAUUUCGGUCAUGCCGUUGGUAUGCACUGUUAUCAUUGAUUUCUCACCUUCUAAAGAACCAUAAUGCCAUUAAUUUGGUGUUACGGGGAAUUAGGACUGUUACCUUGAAAAAAUUAGAGUGUUUAAAGCAGGCUCACGCUUGAAUACAUUAGCAUGGAAUAAUGAAAUAGGACAUCCGAUUCUAUUUUGUUGGUUUCUAGGAUCGAUGUAAUGAUUAAUAGGGAUAGUUGGGGGCAUUAGUAUUCAACUGUCAGAGGUGAAAUUCUUGGAUUUAUUGAAGACUAACUACUGCGAAAGCAUUUGCCAAGGAUGUUUUCAUUAAUCAAGAACGAAAGUUAGGGGAUCGAAGACGAUCAGAUACCGUCGUAGUCUUAACCAUAAACUAUGCCGACUAGGGAUCGGAUGAUGUUAAUUUUUUAAUGACUCAUUCGGCGCCUUACGGGAAAC
rnacentral:rRNA from 1 species